CAGGCCUAACACAUGCAAGUGAACGCUCGUAGCAAUACGGGAGUGGCAGACGGGUGAGUAACACGUGGGAACGUACCUUCAGGUCUGGAAUAACCCUGGGAAACUAGGGCUAAUACCGGAUAUCCGAGAGAUCGGAAAGGCUUGCUGCCUGAAGAUCGGCCCGCGUCUGAUUAGCUAGUUGGUGAGGUAACGGCUCACCAAGGCGACGAUCAGUAGCUGGUCUGAGAGGAUGAUCAGCCACACUGGGACUGAGACACGGCCCAGACUCCUACGGGAGGCAGCAGUGGGGAAUAUUGGACAAUGGGCGAAAGCCUGAUCCAGCCAUGCCGCGUGAGUGAUGAAGGCCUUAGGGUUGUAAAGCUCUUUCGACGGGGACGAUAAUGACGGUACCCGUAGAAGAAGCCCCGGCUAACUUCGUGCCAGCAGCCGCGGUAAU
rnacentral:rRNA from 1 species